rnacentral:rRNA from 1 species
CCUCAGUAACGGCGAGUGAAGCGGCAACAGCUCAAAUUUGAAAUCUGGCUCUAGGGCCCGAGUUGUAAUUUGUAGAGGAUGCUUCGGGUGCGGCACCGUUCUAAGUUCCUUGGAACAGGGCGUCAUAGAGGGUGAGAAUCCCGUACGUGACCGGUCGCCAACCCCAUGUGAAGCUCCUUCGACGAGUCGAGUUGUUUGGGAAUGCAGCUCAAAAUGGGUGGUAAAUUUCAUCUAAAGCUAAAUACCGGCCAGAGACCGAUAGCGCACAAGUAGAGUGAUCGAAAGAUGAAAAGCACUUUGGAAAGAGAGUUAAAAAGUACGUGAAAUUGUUGAAAGGGAAGCGCUUGCAACCAGACUCGCCCGGGGGUGAUCAGCCGUCCUUUUGGGCGGUGCACUUUCCCCCGGUCGGGCCAGCAUCGGUUCGGGCGGUCGGACAAAGGUUCCGGGAAUGUAACUCCCCUCGGGGAGUGUUAUAGCCCGGGGCGUAAUGCGGCCAGCCUGGACCGAGGACCGCGCUUUUUGCUAGGAUGCUGGCGUAAUGGUUGCUAGCGACCC